AGAUGGCGACCGGCGCACGGGUGAGUAACACGUAUCCAACCUGCCGAUAACUCGGGGAUAGCCUUUCGAAGAAAGAUUAAUACCCGAUGGCAUAAUAGAACCGCAUGGUUUGUAUUAUUAAAGAAUUUCGGUUAUCGAUGGGGAUGCGUUCCAUUAGGCAGUUGGUGGGGUAACGGCCCACCAAACCUUCGAUGGAUAGGGGUUCUGAGAGGAAGGUCCCCCACAUUGGAACUGAGACACGGUCCAA
rnacentral:rRNA from 1 species